AUCCAGUUGACGAGUUCCAAAUAGAACGAAACGCGCGUCAAACUUAAU
rfam:Schistosoma haematobium scaffold214_10, whole genome shotgun sequence.